rnacentral:sRNA from 1 species
UGAAUACACUUUUUCAUCUUCUUUGGUAGAAUUCCAAACUACAUCUUCUCUAAUACUAUUAUAGUACCCACCAUAAGCAAAAUGUAUGAUUUAGAAAUUCCAAAGUACCUUCCCCAGUUGUCCCAAUUAUCUUCUCAAUCGCAUGGUCCCAAUUAUCUUCUCAACCGCAUGGUAAACAAUGCCUUUCCAUACCUUCAUUUGUAGGGAAUGAAUCCUCGUUUCAUCAAUCAUUGGUAAUAUUAUCCCUUUUAUACUCUCAUGAAUCUGAUCCAUCCAUCUCCUCAAGAUCUUCAGUAGUAACAACAAUCUUAGGUUCAUCUAAACCACGAAGACCAAACUUCUCCUCCACAUCCAUAAUAGCUUUAUCUAUUUCCAAACCAGCAGGACCAACCUCCUCCUCCACAUCACUAACAUGCACGAUAACCUUAGCUUCAUCCAAACCAUCCACAACAACCUUAGUUGUUUCCAAACCACCAAGACUAACCUCCUCCUCCACACCCUUACAUGUUUCCAAACCACCAAAACCAACCUUCUUCUCCACAUCCAAAACAGUCUUAGUUGUUUUCAAACCAGUAGGACAAAACUCAUCCUCCACAUCCACAACAGCCUUCGCUACAACCAUAUCUAUUUCCAAACAACAAGGGUCGGCCUCUUCCUCCACAUCCACAACAUCCUUAGCACUUUCCAAACCAUCAGGACUAACCUCCUUCUCUAAAAUAGCGUUAGCUUCUUCCACCACCUCAUUUCCUCACCAGCUUCUAUAGAGUUGUGACCAACCCCGUCCUCCACAACAUUAGUUUUUGCCACAGCCUCAGCUUCCUCACCCGCUUCUAAAGAGUUGUCUUCCAAAAACAGCUCCUUGUUUUUACACAAUUAGCAAACACUUUUAGAACAUUUUUUUACUGGAAUUUUGGCAUCAAAUUCACAAAUGUAGAACCAGAUUUUUGGUUCCAAGACACCUUUAUCCUUGUCUUCUUCCUUGUUUAACCUCAAAAUUUGGAGGAUAUGCUAGCAGUUUCAUUAUCUCCUCGGGGACAACCAAUUGAAAAUUAUGUGGAACCGGAAAAAUCGUCUUCGUAUAUGCGAAAACCCAAAGCUCUACCCAAUAAUACUUUGAGCACAAAUCAUGUAACCGCAACUCGGGCGUUCGUCAUUGUUUGUUAUAGUUUUAGCCGCUAUAUCAUGCACACAUGAAUCUUUGUCUAUAUUUAAAGAAAAAAUUGUCAUGUGGUGUACAGCGGGUCGAUCUCUAGUAUGGAACAUAUUAUGAUAGCCUAGUGAAAACAUUAGUGUCAUACAAUUCCCAAAACUGAAUAAAAACAAUUAUUAUUUCACAGAACAAUUACUUGAAGGU